rnacentral:rRNA from 1 species
UACGGGGGGGGCAAGCGUUGUUCGGAAUUACUGGGCGUAAAGGGCUCGUAGGCGGCCAACUAAGUCAGACGUGAAAUCCCCAGGCUCAACCUGGGAACUGCGUCUGAUACUGGAUGGCUUGAAUCCGGGAGAGGGAUGCAGAAUUCCAGGUGUAGCGGUGAAAUGCGUAGAUAUCUGGAGGAACACCGGUGGCGAAGGCGGCUUCCUGGACCGACACUGACGCUGAGGCGCGAAAGCUAGGGGAGCAAACGGG